UACAGAGGUCUCAAGCGUUGUUCGGAUUCAUUGGGCGUAAAGGGUGCGUAGGCGGCGCGGUAAGUCGGGUGUGAAAUCUCGGGCUUAACUCCGAAACUGCAUUCGAUACUGCCGUGCUUGAGGACUGGAGAGGAGACUGGAAUUUACGGUGUAGCGGUGAAAUGCGUAGAUAUCAGGAGAAGAAGCCGGUGGCGAAGGCGGGUCUCUGGACAGUUCCUGACGCUGAGGCACGAAGGCCAGGGGAGCAAACGGG
rnacentral:rRNA from 1 species